rnacentral:lncRNA from 1 species
GGCAGCGCUGAGGCGAGGCGGCCCCGCGGCGCUCAGGUGAGCCGCGGCGGCAGCGGCCGGGAAGGGGCUGGGCUGGGCUGGGCAGGGCUGCGCUGCCAGGCGGGACCUCGGCCACCGGCCGGCCCGGCCCAUCGCAGGCGGCCCGAGGGACAGGGCGGCGGGAGGGGUUGGAGGCAAGCUCCCGCUUGGCGUGGUGCCUGACAAGCACGACGCGAGGCUCAGGGGGUGGCGGGGAUGUCGGCUGGGACCCGUCCCGUUUGCCACCCAGGUGCCUUCCAUUGACUGCCUCCUUUGACGGGGGAAAAGGAAAACCAGAACAAUUGUGGUGAGCAAAAAGAACCAAAGAACCACAACAAGUGAAGAGACAACAAGAGGAACAGAGCUGGGAGAAAAUCACCGUUCUUCUGUAAGUAGAUGGCCACGUUGCCUGCUAAAACAUUGCCUAAAAGUCCAGAGACACUCAGGUGAAAUUGCCAUUGCCUCCUUUGCACACCCAGCUGCUAGCACGUCCUGUUGUUUUAAGCAUCUGUGGUGGGCUUGGCAUUUUUGGUUUGUGGUUUUGCUGUUACCUUUCUGUUAUGGCUAAUUAGUGCUACUAUUAAUAUCUGCCGAAGUCUUCCAGGUGUGGUGGUGGAAACCAACUGAUGAUGGGCAAGCGAUCUGGGCUGCUGG